rnacentral:rRNA from 1 species
GACGAACGCUGGCGGCGUGCUUAACACAUGCAAGUCGAACGGAAAGGCCCUGCUUUUGUGGGGUGCUCGAGUGGCGAACGGGUGAGUAACACGUGAGUAACCUGCCCUUGACUUUGGGAUAACUUCAGGAAACUGGGGCUAAUACCGGAUAGGAGCUCCUGCUGCAUGGUGGGGGUUGGAAAGUUUCGGCGGUUGGGGAUGGACUCGCGGCUUAUCAGCUUGUUGGUGGGGUAGUGGCUUACCAAGGCUUUGACGGGUAGCCGGCCUGAGAGGGUGACCGGCCACAUUGGGACUGAGAUACGGCCCAGACUCCUACGGGAGGCAGUAGUGGGGAAGAUUGCAGAAUGGGCGGACGUCUGAUGCAGAAACGCGGCGUGCGGGAUGACGGCCUUCGGGGUGUAAACCGCUUUCGCCUGUGACGAAGCGUGAGUGACGGUAAUGGGUAAAGACGCCCCGGCUAACUACGUG